rnacentral:rRNA from 1 species
GACAGAGGGUGCAAACGUUGUUCGGAAUUACUGGGCGUAAAGCGCGUGUAGGCGGUCGUGCAAGUCGGGUGUGAAAGCCCAGGGCUCAACCCUGGAAGUGCAUUCGAUACUGCGCGACUAGAGUCUCGGAGAGGGUGGUGGAACUCUCGGUGGAGAGGUGAAAUUCGUAGAUAUCAGGAGGAACACCUGUGGUGUAGACAGCUUACUGGACCACGACUGACGCUGAGACACGAAAGCGUGGGUAGCAAACGGG